AUCAAGGUAGCUCAGUGGUCUAGAGCAGUCGCCCGGCAAGCGAAAGACCCGGGUUCGAUUCCCGGUCUAGCGA
rnacentral:tRNA from 1 species